UACCGCGGUUAUACGAGAGACCCUAGUUGAUAGCUACGGCGUAAAGGGUGGUUCGAGAUAAAUUACAAAUAAAGCUAAAGACCUUCUAAGCUGUUACAAGCACUCCGAAGACACGAAACCCCAACACGAAAGUAGCUUUACUACACUUGACGCCACGAAAGCUAAGAAA
rnacentral:rRNA from 1 species